rnacentral:rRNA from 1 species
GGGGGGGGGGGGGGGGGGGGGUGGGGGGGGGGAGGGGGGCGAGCGGGUGGGGGGUGGUGGCGGGCGGGGGAGGGAGAGGUGGGGAGGUGCCGGUGGGGGCGGGGUGAGUCAGGGCCGCGGGUGCUGAUAGCGGAUGUGCGCUUCGGGGGAAAGUUGUAUCGCCUUUAGAGCGGCCCGCGUCUGAUUAGCUAGUUGGUUGAGGUAAUGGCUCACCAAGGCGACGAUCAGUAGCUGGUCUGAGCGGAUGAUCAGCCACAUUGGGACUGAGACACGGCCCAAACUCCUACGGGAGGCAGCAGUGGGGAAUCUUGCGCAAUGGGCGAAAGCCUGACGCAGCCAUGCCGCGUGAACGAUGAAGGUCUUAGGAUUGUAAAAUUCUUUCACCGGGGACGAUAAUGACGGUACCCGGAGAAGAAGCCCCGGCUAACUUCGUG